rnacentral:rRNA from 1 species
AGAGUUUGAUCCUGGCUCAGAUUGAACGCUGGCGGCGUGGCUAAAACAUGCAAGUCCGGGGCUCAGCAAUGAGCACCGGCGGAAGGGUGAGGAAUCCAUUCGAACGUGCCCCAAGGUGGGGGAUAGGCGUGGGAAACUGCGCGUAAUACCCCAUGUGCUCUACGGAGGAAAGCUUCGGCGCCUCGGGAGCGGCGAAUGUCCUAUCAGGUAGUUGGCGGGGUAAUGGCCCACCAAGCCGAAGACGGGUAGCAGGUGUGAGAGCACGGCCUGCCACAUCGGGACUGAGACACUGCCCGGACUCCUACGGGAGGCUGCAGUAACGAAUAUUCCGCAAUGCGCGAAAGCGUGACGGAGCGACGCCGCGUGCAGGAUGAAGCGGCUUUGCCGUGUAAACUGCUGUCAGGAGCUACUAAAACUGAAGUGCUCCAGAGGAAGGGCCGGCUAAUCCUGUGCCAGCAGCCGCGGUAAUACAGGAGGCCCGAGCGUUAAUCGGAAUCACUGGGCUUAAAGGGUGCGUAGGCGGGCCCGCAAGUGUGUCGUGAAAUCCCCCGGCUCAACCGGGGAACUGCGGCGCAGACUGCGGGUCUUGAGGAAGCUAGGGGCUGCCGGAACGCUCGGUGGAGCGGUGAAAUGCGUUGAGAUCGAGCGGAACGCCGAUGGUGAAGACAGGCAGCUGGGGCUUUCCUGACGCUGAGGCACGAAAGCGUGGGGAUCAAACAGGAUUAGAUACCCUGGUAGUCC